rnacentral:rRNA from 1 species
AGAGUUUGAUCCUGGCUCAGGAUGAACGCUAGCUACAGGCUUAACACAUGCAAGUCGAGGGGCAGCAUGAACUUAGCUUGCUAAGUUUGAUGGCGACCGGCGCACGGGUGAGUAACACGUAUCCAACCUUCCGUUUACUCAGGGAUAGCCUUUCGAAAGAAAGAUUAAUACCUGAUAGUAUGGUGAGAUUGCAUGAUAGCACCAUUAAAGAUUUAUUGGUAAACGAUGGGGAUGCGUUCCAUUAGGUAGUAGGCGGGGUAACGGCCCACCUAGCCUGCGAUGGAUAGGGGUUCUGAGAGGAAGGUCCCCCACAUUGGAACUGAGACACGGUCCAAACUCCUACGGGAGGCAGCAGUGAGGAAUAUUGGUCAAUGGGCGAGAGCCUGAACCAGCCAAGUAGCGUGAAGGAUGAAGGUCCUACGGAUUGUAAACUUCUUUUAUACGGGAAUAAAGUAUCCUACGUGUAGGAUUUUGUAUGUACCGUAUGAAUAAGCAUCGGCUAACUCCGUGCCAGCAGCCGCGGUAAUACGGAGGAUGCGAGCGUUAUCCGGAUUUAUUGGGUUUAAAGGGAGCGCAGACGGGAGAUUAAGUCAGUUGUGAAAGUUUGCGGCUCAACCGUAAAAUUGCAGUUGAUACUGGUUUCCUUGAGUGCAGUUGAGGCAGGCGGAAUUCGUGGUGUAGCGGUGAAAUGCUUAGAUAUCACGAAGAACCCCGAUUGCGAAGGCAGCUUGCUAAACUGUAACUGACGUUCAUGCUCGAAAGUGUGGGUAUCAAACAGGAUUAGAUACCCUGGUAGUCCACACGGUAAACGAUGGAUACUCGCUGUUGGCGAUAUACUGUCAGCGGCUUAGCGAAAGCGUUAAGUAUCCCACCUGGGGAGUACGCCGGCAACGGUGAAACUCAAAGGAAUUGACGGAAGGGCGAA